GGUUAAGCGACUAAGCGUACACGGUGGAUGCCCUGGCAGUCAGAGGCGAUGAAGGACGUGCUAAUCUGCGAUAAGCGUCGGUAAGGUGAUAUGAACCGUUAUAACCGGCGAUUUCCGAAUGGGGAAACCCAGUGUGAUUCGUCACACUAUCAUUAACUGAAUCCAUAGGUUAAUGAGGCGAACCGGGGGAACUGAAACAUCUAAGUACCCCGAGGAAAAGAAAUCAACCGAGAUUCCCCCAGUAGCGGCGAGCGAACGGGGAGCAGCCCAGAGCCUGAAUCAGUGUGUGUGUUAGUGGAAGCGUCUGGAAAGGCGCGCGAUACAGGGUGACAGCCCCGUACACAAAAAUGCACAUGCUGUGAGCUCGAUGAGUAGGGCGGGACACGUGGUAUCCUGUCUGAAUAUGGGGGGACCAUCCUCCAAGGCUAAAUACUCCUGACUGACCGAUAGUGAACCAGUACCGUGAGGGAAAGGCGAAAAGAACCCCGGCGAGGGGAGUGAAAAAGAACCUGAAACCGUGUACGUACAAGCAGUGGGAGCACGCUUAGGCGUGUGACUGCGUACCUUUUGUAUAAUGGGUCAGCGACUUAUAUUCUGUAGCAAGGUUAACCGAAUAGGGGAGCCGAAGGGAAACCGAGUCUUAACUGGGCGUUAAGUUGCAGGGUAUAGACCCGAAACCCGGUGAUCUAGCCAUGGGCAGGUUGAAGGUUGGGUAACACUAACUGGAGGACCGAACCGACUAAUGUUGAAAAAUUAGCGGAUGACUUGUGGCUGGGGGUGAAAGGCCAAUCAAACCGGGAGAUAGCUGGUUCUCCCCGAAAGCUAUUUAGGUAGCGCCUCGUGAAUUCAUCUCCGGGGGUAGAGCACUGUUUCGGCAAGGGGGUCAUCCCGACUUACCAACCCGAUGCAAACUGCGAAUACCGGAGAAUGUUAUCACGGGAGACACACGGCGGGUGCUAACGUCCGUCGUGAAGAGGGAAACAACCCAGACCGCCAGCUAAGGUCCCAAAGUCAUGGUUAAGUGGGAAACGAUGUGGGAAGGCCCAGACAGCCAGGAUGUUGGCUUAGAAGCAGCCAUCAUUUAAAGAAAGCGUAAUAGCUCACUGGUCGAGUCGGCCUGCGCGGAAGAUGUAACGGGGCUAAACCAUGCACCGAAGCUGCGGCAGCGACGCUUAUGCGUUGUUGGGUAGGGGAGCGUUCUGUAAGCCUGCGAAGGUGUGCUGUGAGGCAUGCUGGAGGUAUCAGAAGUGCGAAUGCUGACAUAAGUAACGAUAAAGCGGGUGAAAAGCCCGCUCGCCGGAAGACCAAGGGUUCCUGUCCAACGUUAAUCGGGGCAGGGUGAGUCGACCCCUAAGGCGAGGCCGAAAGGCGUAGUCGAUGGGAAACAGGUUAAUAUUCCUGUACUUGGUGUUACUGCGAAGGGGGGACGGAGAAGGCUAUGUUGGCCGGGCGACGGUUGUCCCGGUUUAAGCGUGUAGGCUGGUUUUCCAGGCAAAUCCGGAAAACUAAGGCUGAGGCGUGAUGACGAGGCACUACGGUGCUGAAGCAACAAAUGCCCUGCUUCCAGGAAAAGCCUCUAAGCAUCAGGUAACAUCAAAUCGUACCCCAAACCGACACAGGUGGUCAGGUAGAGAAUACCAAGGCGCUUGAGAGAACUCGGGUGAAGGAACUAGGCAAAAUGGUGCCGUAACUUCGGGAGAAGG
rnacentral:rRNA from 1 species